AGACCCGAAACCCGGUGAUCUAGCCAUGGGCAGGUUGAAGGUUGGGUAACACUAACUGGAGGACCGAACCGACUAAUGUUGAAAAAUUAGCGGAUGACCUGUGGCUGGGGGUGAAAGGCCAAUCAAACCGGGAGAUAGCUGGUUCUCCCCGAAAGCUAUUUAGGUAGCGCCUCGUGAAUUCAUCUCCGGGGGUAGAGCACUGUUUCGGCUAGGGGGCCAUCCCGGCUUACCAACCCGAUGCAAACUGCGAAUACCGGAGAAUGUUAUCACGGGAGACACACGGCGGGUGCUAACGUCCGUCGUGAAGAGGGAAACAACCCAGACCGCCAGCUAAGGUCCCAAAGUCAUGGUUAAGUGGGAAACGAUGUGGGAAGGCCCAGACAGCCAGGAUGUUGGCUUAGAAGCAGCCAUCAUUUAAAGAAAGCGUAAUAGCUCACUGGUCGAGUCGGCCUGCGCGGAAGAUGUAACGGGGCUAAACCAUGCACCGAAGCUGCGGCAGCGACACUGUGUGUUGUUGGGUAGGGGAGCGUUCUGUAAGCCUGUGAAGGUGUGUCGUGAGGCAUGCUGGAGGUAUCAGAAGUGCGAAUGCUGACAUAAGUAACGAUAAAGCGGGUGAAAAGCCCGCUCGCCGGAAGACCAAGGGUUCCUGUCCAACGUUAAUCGGGGCAGGGUGAGUCGACCCCUAAGGCGAGGCCGAAAGGCGUAGUCGAUGGGAAACGGGUUAAUAUUCCCGUACUUGGUGUUACUGCGAAGGGGGGACGGAGAAGGCUAUGUUGGCCGGGCGACGGUUGUCCCGGUUUAAGCGUGUAGGUGUGUGUUCCAGGUAAAUCCGGUUCACUUUAACACUGAGGCGUGACGACGAGGCACUACGGUGCUGAAGCAACAAAUGCCCUGCUUCCAGGAAAAGCCUCUAAGCAUCAGGUAACAUCAAAUCGUACCCCAAACCGACACAGGUGGUCAGGUAGAGAAUACCAAGGCGCUUGAGAGAACUCGGGUGAAGGAACUAGGCAAAAUGGUGCCGUAACUUCGGGAGAAGGCACGCUGACACGUAGGUGAAGUGAUUUACUCAUGGAGCUGAAGUCAGUCGAAGAUACCAGCUGGCUGCAACUGUUUAUUAAAAACACAGCACUGUGCAAACACGAAAGUGGACGUAUACGGUGUGACGCCUGCCCGGUGCCGGAAGGUUAAUUGAUGGGGUCAGCGCAAGCGAAGCUCCUGAUCGAAGCCCCGGUAAACGGCGGCCGUAACUAUAACGGUCCUAAGGUAGCGAAAUUCCUUGUCGGGUAAGUUCCGACCUGCACGAAUGGCGUAAUGAUGGCCAGGCUGUCUCCACCCGAGACUCAGUGAAAUUGAACUCGCUGUGAAGAUGCAGUGUACCCGCGGCAAGACGGAAAGACCCCGUGAACCUUUACUAUAGCUUGACACUGAACAUUGAGCCUUGAUGUGUAGGAUAGGUGGGAGGCUUUGAAGUGUGGACGCCAGUCUGCAUGGAGCCGACCUUGAAAUACCACCCUUUAAUGUUUGAUGUUCUAACGUGGACCCGUUACCCGGGUUGCGGACAGUGUCUGGUGGGUAGUUUGACUGGGGCGGUCUCCUCCUAAAGAGUAACGGAGGAGCACGAAGGUUGGCUAAUCCUGGUCGGACAUCAGGAGGUUAGUGCAAUGGCAUAAGCCAGCUUGACUGCGAGCGUGACGGCGCGAGCAGGUGCGAAAGCAGGUCAUAGUGAUCCGGUGGUUCUGAAUGGAAGGGCCAUCGCUCAACGGAUAAAAGGUACUCCGGGGAUAACAGGCUGAUACCGCCCAAGAGUUCAUAUCGACGGCGGUGUUUGGCACCUCGAUGUCGGCUCAUCACAUCCUGGGGCUGAAGUAGGUCCCAAGGGUAUGGCUGUUCGCCAUUUAAAGUGGUACGCGAGCUGGGUUUAGAACGUCGUGAGACAGUUCGGUCCCUAUCUGCCGUGGGCGCUGGAGAACUGAGGGGGGCUGCUCCUAGUACGAGAGGACCGGAGUGGACGCAUCACUGGUGUUCGGGUUGUCAUGCCAAUGGCACUGCCCGGUAGCUAAAUGCGGAAGAGAUAAGUGCUGAAAGCAUCUAAGCACGAAACUUGCCCCGAGAUGAGUUCUCCCUGAGACUUAGAGUCUCCUGAAGG
rnacentral:rRNA from 1 species